UACGUAGGGGGCGAGCGUUGUCCGGAUUUAUUGGGCGUAAAGAGCGUGUAGGCGGCCAGACAGGUCCGUUGUGAAAACUAGAGGCUUAACCUCUAGACGUCGAUGGAAACCGUUUGGCUAGAGUCCGGAAGAGGAGAAUGGAAUUCCUGGUGUAGCGGUGAAAUGCGCAGAUAUCAGGAAGAACACCCGUGGCUAAGGCGGUUCUCUAGUACGGUACUGACGCUGAGACGCGAAAGCGUGGGGAGCGAACAGG
rnacentral:rRNA from 1 species